AUACGGAGGGUGCGAGCGUUGUUCGGAAUUAUUGGGCGUAAAGCGCGUUGUAGGCGGUCUUUUAAGUUCUGAUGUGAAAGCCCUGGGCUCAACCCAGGAAGUGCAUUGGAAACUGGGAGACUUGAAUACGGGAGAGGGUAGUGGAAUUCCUAGUGUAGGAGUGAAAUCCGUAGAUAUUAGGAGGAACACCGGUGGCGAAGGCGGCUACCUGGACCGAUAUUGACGCUGAGACGCGAAAGCGUGGGGAGC
rnacentral:rRNA from 1 species